AUACGUAGGUGGCAAGCGUUAUCCGGAUUUACUGGGUGUAAAGGGCGUGUAGCCGGGUUGGCAAGUCAGAUGUGAAAUCUAUGGGCUUAACUCAUAAACUGCAUUUGAAACUGCUGAUCUUGAGUAUCGGAGAGGCAAUCGGACUUCCUAGUGUAGCGGUGAAAUGCGUAGAUAUUAGGAGGAACACCAGUGGCGAAGGCGGAUUGCUGGACGACAACUGACGGUGAGGCGCGAAAGCGUGGGGAGCAAACAGGAUUAGAUACCCUGGUAGUCCACACUGUAAACGAUGAAUACUAGGUGUGGGGGGACUGACCCCCUCCGUGCCGCAGUUAACACAAUAAGUAUUCCACCUGGGGAGUACGGCCGCAAGGUUGAAACUCAAAUGAAUUGGCGGGG
rnacentral:rRNA from 1 species